CCGUAGCCCAAGAGAUCGGGAUAACACCUGGAAACAGAUGCUAAUACCGGAUAACAACAGAUGAUGCCUAUCAACUGUUUAAAAGAUGGUUCUGCUAUCACUCUUGGAUGGACCUGCGGUGCAUUAGCUAGUUGGUAGGGUAACGGCCUACCAAGGCGAUGAUGCAUAGCCGAGUUGAGAGACUGAUCGGCCACAUUGGGACUGAGACACGGCCCAAACUCCUACGGGAGGCAGCAG
rnacentral:rRNA from 1 species